rnacentral:rRNA from 3 species
AGUGACGAUAGCCUAGGAGAUACACCUGUUCCCAUGCCGAACACAGAAGUUAAGCCCUAGAACGCCUGAUGUAGUUGGGGGUUGCCCCCUGUUAGAUAUGGUAGUCGCUUAGCA